rnacentral:snRNA from 1 species
CGAGCAAGCUCAAAAGCUUAA